GAUAAGAAUUUAAGAGUCAAUGUGGAUACAUUAUCUUGUAAAUUUUUUCAUCUAAUUGUAGAAAAAAGGUAUAAAUUCAUUGUAUCACUUAAAAAAAUAUAUAGCCUUAGGAUAGGAGUUAGCAACAUCACACAAUACUAAAUUUAAGUUAGGACAUCUACAUGGUGUGUAAAAUGUUCUAGCAUUUAUAUCCAAUAAUCUUCUUUGUAUACCUUGAUGUUUUUCUUUCAUAUUAGACAUGUUGUCAUACUCUUGUCCUCUUAUAUCAUUAACCUCAAAUUUAUAUUUUUCUAUUAUAUUUAUAAGUUCACUAAAAAGGUGAGGUAUCAUAUACUUCUAAAAAUUCUAAAAAAUAUUCUUUUACUUUUACUGGACUUGUUACAGUAUUUACACAUAUUAAAACUAGGGUCAUUUAU
rnacentral:lncRNA from 1 species